AUAGUGUUGGACUCGUUUGCAUGCUGUUCUGCCUCACUGCAGGAGUAGGGGUGUGUGUACACAGGAGUUUCCUGUUUGGACGUUGAGUUUGGUCACGUGACCAGGAAGUGACGAUUUAAGAUUCCCUCUCAGCCACGCGGCAGGGUGUCAGCCAUUACACAGAGUACAAAAUGUAGGCACAAAUAACGUAUCCGUGAAGACAGGUGUAUUCGUUCAUUGUGGGACUUUAAGAAGCAUUGUCUGUGGGCGUCUCUGCACGUGAUGUCAAAGUGAACCAACCACCCACCCUGCCUCCUUGGUCAUCGGGAUGCUCCCAGCAGUUUCCCGGAUGGAGCUGUUCCUGAAGGAGCUUCCAGCACGUGGAGCGACACGUCAGACAUCAUGCCGAAUGGAACGCGGUACAAUCCGCAAACACGCUGGGGACCUAUGCUUGCAAACUGCUGCUAGAGAGUGCCUCUAGAUUAUUAUGGGCUUCUCUCCCAUGCUGACCAGACAUCUUGAAAGAGAUAUUAGUACCGAGAGAAGGCGGCAGUUUAGGGAGGCCUGGAAUGACCAAGGCCGACGAUGAUGACAACAACGAUGGCAUUUCCCACAAUUACACUGAUAUUAUUUUUGUCCAUCUACAACAGGGGUGGGGAACGUCCGGCCCGCAGGCCGUAUGAGGCCCCCGAAAUAAUUUGGUCUGGCCUUGCCAAGGCAACCGCAGGCGGGACUCAAAAUUCAAUAAAUCUAGGAGCAAACCUGGAAAAGCAGUUGCGAGUAGCAACAUCA